rnacentral:misc_RNA from 1 species
UCUCCGUUGGUGAACCAGCGGAGGGAUCAUUACAGAGUUAUCUAACUCCCAAACCAUUGUGAACUUACCAUAUGUUGCCUCGGCGCAGGCUGGGAGCUUCUGUAAACUCCCCCCCGCGGACUCACCUCUGCGCGGAGCAGGCCCGCCGGCGGCCCCACCAAACUCUUGUUUUUAGUGUCUCUUCUGAGUUAAACAAACAAAUGAAUCAAAACUUUCAACAACGGAUCUCUUGGUUCUGGCAUCGAUGAAGAACGCAGC